UUGUAUCUCUCCAUUAUCUUACAAGCUUCAUACCACCAUAAUAGCAAUACAUGAAAAGCAUGAAAUUCAUAUUGAAGCAUAUAUCUAACAUGUACUUGUGAUUUAGACAUCAUAGAACCAUACAAACAUGAAUUUCUAGCAUCCUAACCAUUUUAUCAAACACCUUGCAUACAUUCUUUAUGGCAUAGGUGGGUUUCAUACUUGCACCAUAUUAAACCACCUAAAGUUCAUGGUUUUCAAUUAACAAAC
rnacentral:lncRNA from 1 species